rnacentral:rRNA from 1 species
CCUACGGGAGGCUGCAGUGAGGAAUAUUGGUCAAUGGGCGGAAGCCUGAACCAGCCAAGUAGCGUGCAGGAUGACGGCCCUACGGGUUGUAAACUGCUUUUAUACGGGAAUAACGCGCCUUACGUGUAGGGCUUUGCAUGUACCGUAUGAAUAAGGACCGGCUAAUUCCGUGCCAGCAGCCGCGGUAAUACGGAAGGUCAGGGCGUUAUCCGGCUGUCUUGGGUUUAAAGGGAGCGUAGGCCGCAUGUCCAGCGUGCGGGUAAAUGGCCGGGCUCAACCCGGGCCGUGCAGCGCGAACUGGCGUGCUUGAGUCCGCGGAAAGCAGGCGGAAUUCGUCGUGUAGCGGUGAAAUGCUUAGAUAUGACGAAGAACCCCGAUUGCGAAGGCAGCUUGCUGCAGCGGAACUGACGCUGAUGCUCGAAAGCGCGGGUAUCGAACAGGAUUAGAUACCCCAGUAGUC